CCUACGGGGGGCUGCAGUGGGGAAUAUUGGACAAUGGGCGAAAGCCUGAUCCAGCAAUGCCGCGUGAGUGAUGAAGGCCCUAGGGUUGUAAAGCUCUUUUACCCGGGAUGAUAAUGACAGUACCGGGAGAAUAAGCCCCGGCUAACUCCGUGCCAGCAGCCGCGGUAAUACGGAGGGGGCUAGCGUUGUUCGGAAUUACUGGGCGUAAAGCGCACGUAGGCGGCUUUGUAAGUCAGAGGUGAAAGCCCGGAGCUUAACUCCGGAAUUGCCUUUGGGACUGCAUCGCUUGAAUCCAGGAGAGGUGAGUGGAAUUCCGAGUGUAGAGGUGAAAUUCGUAGAUAUUCGGAAGAACACCAGUGGCGAAGGCGGCUCACUGGACUGGUAUUGACGCUGAGGUGCGAAAGCGUGGGGAGCAAACAGGAUUAGAUACCCCUGUAGUC
rnacentral:rRNA from 1 species